UAGGGAAUCUUCCGCAAUGGGCGCAAGCCUGACGGAGCAACGCCGCGUGUGUGAAGAAGGUCUUCGGAUCGUAAAGCACUGUUGUUAGAGAAGAACGACCGCUAGAGUAACUGUUAGCGGAGUGACGGUAUCUAACCAGAAAGCCACGGCUAACUACGUGCCAGCAGCCGCGGUAAUACGUAGGUGGAAAGUGUUGUCCGGAUUUAUUGGGCGUAAAGGGAGCGCAGGCGGUGACUUAAGUCUGAUGUGAAAGCCCACGGCUCAACCGUGGAGGGUCAUUGGAAACUGGGUCGCUUGAGUGCAGAAGAGGAAAGUGGAAUUCCAUGUGUAGCGGUGAAAUGCGUAGAUAUAUGGAGGAACACCAGUGGCGAAGGCGACUUUCUGGUCUGAAACUGACGCUGAGGCUCGAAAGCGUGGGGAGCAAACAGG
rnacentral:rRNA from 1 species